AGAGUUUGAUCCUGGCUCAGAACGUACGCUGGCGGCACGCCUUAUACAUGCAAGUCGAACGAAGUAGCAAUACUUAGUGGCAGACGGGUGAGUAACAUGUGGGUAUCUUCCCUUUGGUGAGGAAUAACACGAGGAAACUUGUGCUAAUACCUCAUAAGUCUUUACGGAGAAAGCUUUACGCGCCAAUGGAUGAGCCCGCACUUGAUUAGUUUGUUGGUGGGGUAAUGGCCUACCAAGACUGUGAUCAAUAGCUGAUUUGAGAGGAUGAUCAGCCACAUUGGGACUGAGACACGGCCCAAACUCCUACGAGAGGCAGCAGUAGGGAAUCUUGCACAAUGGAGGAAACUCUGAUGCAGCGAUGCCGCGUGAGUGGAGAAGGCCUUUGGGUUGUAAAGCUCUUUCGUCGGGGAAGAAAAUGACUGUACCCGAAUAAGAAGGUCCGGCUAACUUCGUGCCAGCAGCCGCGGUAAUACGAAGGGACCUAGCGUAGUUCGGAAUUACUGAGCUUAAAGAGUUCGUAGGUGGUUAAAAAAGUUGGUGGUGAAAUCCCAGAGCUUAACUCUGGAACUGCCAUCAAAACUUUUUAGCUAGAGUAUGAUAGAGGAAAGUAGAAUUUCUAGUGUAGAGGUGAAAUUCGUAGAUAUUAGAAAGAAUACCAAUUGCGAAGGCAGCUUUCUGGAUCAUUACUGACACUGAGGAACGAAAGCAUGGGUAGCGAAGAGGAUUAGAUACCCUCGUAGUCCAUG
rnacentral:rRNA from 1 species